ACGCAUCUAUUUGACAGACCUGGAGCAGUUACUGUCUGCUGCUAAGGUUCCAGUGCAGAUGCAAGAAAAAAGGGUCCUCGCGCUUUCUUUCUGUCUGACUAUGGCAGCCAAGAUUGAAUGGGGGAGUACAGUG
ensembl:snoRNA